rnacentral:RNase_P_RNA from 1 species
GGGAGAGAGAGCCUGGCUGCCGCGGCGGUCGCGCCGGUGACAGCGCGUCCGUCCAACGCGGAUCGUCUCAUCGAGACUGUCCGCGCCCGCGAGGAAAGUCCCCCCACCGUUCGGGCGGGUGACCGGGCGCAAGCCCGGAGCGGGAGACCGCUGGCUCUGGAACAGAAACGACACGUCUCGACCCGACCGAUGAUGCGUGCGAACCCGACCGCGAGGAAGGGAAGUUGACCCGCAGAGGGACGGCGACUCAAACGCCGGACGGUCGAGGAUCGAUGGAACGGCGAACCCUCACCGGUGCAAGUCCGCGUCGCUGGUAGCCCGAACACGCCGCGAUUUCGCGGGAGACGCGGACGCUUAGCCGAAUGCCAGGACGAACAGAAGGGGGCUUACUCCUCUCGCCC